AGUUUCACAAUAAUGGCUCUAAAAUUGUGACAUGCCUAUGUUUCCUUUUGCCUAUUCUUUUGUAUAGGCAUACCUCAGGUCACGUGACUGCCCAGUUUUCCCCUGGCGAAAAGAAAAACAUGGCGGACAUCCCUUCUAUUUUCGGUGGAAAAUGAAAUAUUUUAAGAUAGCUUAAGUGUCGUUUUGAUAACCUUUCUGGCGACAAAUGUAUAUUGUAUCUUCAUAAUCUUCGUUCGGUUUAUGUUUAUGAUCUUUAGUUUGUUCGUUUCUACAAAGAUUCUUUCAGGUCUCGAUAGAAAAACGUUGGGCUGUUACGUUUUCUACUGUUGCUAUGGUGAUAGCUAUGGACGCUAUCAACAACGAACCGGAAGGAAGUGGACGUUCGGUUCGCGGCUCUUAAAACGGGUUACAUCAGACCCUAGACAUCAAACUAAGCUCCUAUGCAAUAAAUAAUGAUUUCUGUUA